CGGGGCGUAGCUCAGCUUGGCUAGAGCGCCUGCUUUGGGAGCAGGAAGUCGUCGGUUCAAAUCCGGCCGCCCCGA
rnacentral:tRNA from 1 species